AAGUCGUAACAAGGUUUCCGUAGGUGAACCUGCGGAAGGAUCAUUAAUACGCUUUUGUUUGUAACAAAACAAAACGUUUAAAACUCCAAAAGAAAUAGUGGAAAUAUAACUUCCGGAUGCGAAUGUUGGGAACUGAGUAAAAUCGGUUCUUUGAAAAAGGGACUUCAAGCAAUUGACACUUCAGAGUAGAGCAGUGAGGUGAAAUUCUCGUUUUCGAGCGAGAGUUUGGUUCUGAAAAACAUUUGUAUCCGGUUAUCAUAAUCUGUUCUACAACACAAAAUAUCAAACAAUAAACCCCAUGUACAACAACUUGAACUAAACAUUUUUUUGUUGUCUGCUCGCCCUUGUGUGAGAAGAUGCUACAAAGAAAAAACCUGAACUUAAGAACAACUCUUAACAACGGAUAUCUUGGUUCUC
rnacentral:misc_RNA from 1 species